UAACGAAUCUUCCCCAAUGCACGAAAGUGUGAGGGAGCGACGCCGCGUGGAGGAUGAAGUCCUUCGGGAUGUAAACUCCUGUCAGGGGUUACCAAGUUCUGAGGAGCCCCAGAGGAAGUGGCGGCUAACUCUGUGCCAGCAGCCGCGGUAAGACAGAGGCCACAAGCGUUAGGCGGAAUCACUGGGCUUAAAGCGUGUGUAGGUGGAUGUCUAAGUACCUUGUGAAAUCCCACGGCUCACCCGUGGAACUGCUUGGUAUACUGGAUGUCUUGAGCUAUCUAGGGGCAGCUGGAACGAACGGUGGAGCGGUGAAAUGCGUAGAUAUCGUUCGGAACGCCAAUGGUGAAAACAGGCUGCUGGGGAUACGCUGACACUGAGACACGAAAGCCAGGGGAGCAAA
rnacentral:rRNA from 1 species